UACAGAGGUCCCAAGCGUUGUUCGGAUUCAUUGGGCGUAAAGGGUGCGUAGGCGGCGCGGUAAGUCGGGUGUGAAAUCUCGGGGCUUAACUCCGAAACUGCAUUCGAUACUGCGUGCUUGAGGACUGGAGAGGAGACUGGAAUUUAUGGUGUAGCAGUGAAAUGCGUAGAGAUCAUGAGGAAGACCAGUGGCGAAGGCGGGUCUCUGGACACUUCCUGACACUGAGGCACGAAAGCUAGGGGAGCAAACAGG
rnacentral:rRNA from 1 species